GUUGAACGCUGGCGGCAGGCCUAACACAUGCAAGUCGAGCGGAUGAAGGGAGUUCUCUUCUCGAUUCAGCGGCGGACGGGUGGGUAAUGCCCAGGAAUCUGCCUGGCAUUGGGGGAUGACAUACGGAAACGGGCGCUAAUACCGCAUCCGUCCUGAGGGAGAAAGAGAGGGAUCUUGUGACCUCACGCUAUCAGCUUAGCCUAGGUCGGAUUAGCUAGUGGGUUGGGUAAAGGCCUACCAAGGGGACGAUCCGUAACUGGUCUGAGAGGAUGAUCAGUCAAACUGGAACUGGGACACGGCCCAGACUCCUACGGAAGGAACAGUAGGGGAAUAUUGGCAAAUGGGCGAAAGCCUGAUGCAGACAUGCCGCGUGUGUGAAGAGGUUCUUCGGAUGGUAAACUAUUUUAAGAUGGGAGAAAGGGCAGUAGGUUAAUACCUUGAUGUUUUGACGUUAACAACAGAGUAAGCACCGGCUAACUUCGUG
rnacentral:rRNA from 1 species